GCCGGGGUAGCCAAGUCCGGAUACACAUAUCUGUGGUCCAUGGCGCGGGCCUUGAGAGCCCGUGGCCCUUUGUGGCCACGUGGGUUCAAAUCCCACCCCCGGCGCCA
rnacentral:tRNA from 1 species